UACGUAGGGGGCUAGCGUUGUCCGGAAUCAUUGGGCGUAAAGAGCGUGUAGGCGGUCCGGUAAGUCCGCUGUGAAAGUCGGGGGCUCAACCCUCGAAUGCCGGUGGAUACUGUCGGGCUAGAGUGCGGAAGAGGCGAGUGGAAUUCCUGGUGUAGCGGUGAAAUGCGCAGAUAUCAGGAGGAACACCUAUUGCGAAGGCAGCUCGCUGGGACGUAACUGACGCUGAGACGCGAAAAGCGUGGGGGAGCAAAACAGG
rnacentral:rRNA from 1 species